GCCAACUGAUCCUACCCCUUUUUCUAUACUCAACCAUUGAUCAUUUUUAUGCUUCUCCUCUCUCAUUUAAGCCUCAAAACCGAAGAAAAAGAAAGUAGACCGUGAACUAGAAGCUACAAGAGUGAGUCUAGUUCGCCGGAGGUUAGAGAGAAGGAGAGUACUCUGGUGGUUCUCUUACAUGACCACCACAUCAGAUAUGGAAGAAAGAUCUUAAUGCAAUGGCUAUUCAUUGUUCUAGAAUGCCUUAAACUCGUUUAAUGUCAAGGAUUUGGAUCUUGAGGUGUUUGUAUGAGGUUUUCCAUAGACUGCUUUCUACUAUACAAUCUCGCUUGUUUCCUACCAUCUCGGCACUUGAGGUCACAGUGAAGACACCACCGAGACAAGUAACAACGUGAGUGAAAUUUGACAGCUUAUAUGAUCUAAAGCCCCAGGUAUUAAUGUUUUCAAGAUCUUUAGCUAAUCUGUGGACUUGUUCUCAAGUUGGUCUCUGAGAAAUUACAUACAAUAUAUGGGAAAGAGAAGAUGUAGAGAGUGAAUCGGGGGAAGGGGGACGCUGAUAUAGAGAGGUCGGAAAUAUUGAGAGUAACGGAGAUGUUUGCCUAUAAAUUAUAAUAUACUUGUUUUAUAAAUAUUGGAGAUGAAAGCUACACCGGAGAAGAAGGAUCCGCCGGUGAGGAAGGCACUGUCGGGGACGAUGGAAUCACGGGUGAAGAGGACAACUACCGGAGCUAAAAAUGGUUGUGAGAGGUACUUCCGGUAGCGGAGGGAAGAGCUCGGGGUGAUCGCAUGGCACACACCAUAGUUUGGACAGCCUGGGAAUGUUUACUCUGAUAACGAAUAUGUAUUUUGGAAACUAAUACUUUGUUUAUGUUUUGAGAUGAUGAAUUUGCAUAACGUAAUGUUUUAAUUAAAAGAAA